UACAGAGGGGGCAAGCGUUGUUCGGAAUUACUGGGCGUAAAGGGUUCGUAGGUGGCCUACUAAGUCAGACGUGAAAUCCCUCGGCUUAACCGGGGAACUGCGUCUGAUACUGGAUGGCUUGAGUUCGGGAGAGGGAUGCGGAAUUCCAGGUGUAGCGGUGAAAUGCGUAGAGAUGUGGAGGAACACCAGUGGCGAAGGCGACUUUCUGGCCUAUAACUGACGCUGAGGCGCGAAAGCGUGGGGAGCAAACAGG
rnacentral:rRNA from 1 species